CCUACGGGAGGCAGCAGUGGGGAAUAUUGGGCAAUGGGCGCAAGCCUGACCCAGCAACGCCGCGUGAAGGAAGAAGGCUUUCGGGUUGUAAACUUCUUUUAAGAGGGAAGAGCAGAAGACGGUACCUCUUGAAUAAGCCACGGCUAACUACGUGCCAGCAGCCGCGGUAAUACGUAGGUGGCAAGCGUUGUCCGGAUUUACUGGGUGUAAAGGGCGUGCAGCCGGGAAGACAAGUCAGAUGUGAAAUCCCGCGGCUCAACCGCGGAACUGCAUUUGAGACUGGUUUUCUUGAGUACCGGAGAGGUCAUCGGAAUUCGUGGUGUAGCGGUGAAAUGCGUAGAUAUAAGGAAGAACACCAGUGGCGAAGGCAGAUGACUGGACGGCAACUGACGGUGAGGCGCGAAAGCGUGGGGAGCAAACAGGAUUAGAUACCCCAGUAGUC
rnacentral:rRNA from 1 species